CACUACCGCAUAGAAUAUAAAGGAUCUUUACCAAAGCAGUCUUGCCUCAUAAUAAAAUUGCCAAUAAUAUCUUGAGCUCCAGACUACAUUGAAAGAUAAUUUGUUCUGCAAUGAAAGGUAC